CAAACCCUGUGGAAAGAUACAGGUGGAGGAGGAAGUGAGGCCUCCUUAAACAGCCGGUGAGGAUCUGAGGCCUGCUAAUGGCCAUGUGAGUGAGCCAUCUUGAUAACAGAUCUUUCAGCCUUCCUCAAGCCUCCAGAUGACUGCAGCCCCAGGUGACAACUUCACUCUCCAGAUAGACUACUCCCAAAGUCCUGGACCACAGAAAUUGCAAAGUUGGACAUUCCAAAGAUGGCGUAGAUGAACAUGACCAGGAAGAGCAGGAGGCCGAUGUUAAACAAGGCAGGAAGGGACAUCAUCAGAGCAAAGAGCAGCGUGCGGAUUCCCUUGGCCCCUUUGAUCAGACGCAAGAUUCGACCAAUCCUGGCGAGCCGGAUCACUCGGAACAGGAGAGAGAGAACACAAGCAGGGGGAGCAGCGGGCAAAGGGAGAAGCAGGCUCCCCACUGAGCAGGGAGCCCCACGCAGGGCUCGAUCCCAGGACCCUGGGACCAUGACCCGAGCUGAAGGCAGACGCUCAACCGACUGAGCCACCCAGGCGCCCUAUAAAAUCUGAGCAUUGGA